rnacentral:rRNA from 1 species
UACGGGAGUGUCAAGCGUUAUCCGGAAUUAUUGGGCGUAAAGCGUCCGCAGGCGGCCUUUUAAGUCUGUUGUUAAAGCGUGGAGCUUAACUCCAUUUGAGCAAUGGAAACUGGAAGGCUUGAGUGUGGUAGGGGCAGAGGGAAUUCCCGGUGUAGCGGUGAAAUGCGUAGAUAUCGGGAAGAACACCAGUGGCGAAGGCGCUCUGCUGGGCCAUAACUGACGCUCAUGGACGAAAGCCAGGGGAGCGAAAGGGAUUAGAUACCCCUGUAGUCCUGGCCGUAAACGAUGAACACUAGGUGUCGGGGGAAUCGACCCCCUCGGUGUCGUAGCCAACGCGUUAAGUGUUCCGCCUGGGGAGUACGCACGCAAGUGUGAAACUCAAAGGAAUUGACGGGGGCCCGCACAAGCGGUGGAGUAUGUGGUUUAAUUCGAUGCAACGCGAAGAACCUUACCAGGGUUUGACAUCCUGCGAAUCCCUUGGAAACGAGGGAGUGCCUUCGGGAGCGCAGUGACAGGUGGUGCAUGGCUGUCGUCAGCUCGUGUCGUGAGAUGUUGGGUUAAGUCCCGCAACGAGCGCAACCCACGUCGUUAGUUGCCAGCAUUCAGUUGGGCACUCUAGCGAGACCGCCGGUGAUAAACCGGAGGAAGGUGUGGAUGACGUCAAGUCAUCAUGCCCCUUACAUCCUGGGCUACACACGUACUACAAUGCUACGGACAAAGGGCAGCAAACUCGCGAGAGCUAGCAAAUCCCAUAAACCGUGGCUCAGUUCAGAUCGUAGGCUGCAACUCGCCUACGUGAAGGAGGAAUCGCUAGUAAUCGCAGGUCAGCAUACUGCGGUGAAUACGUUCCCGGGCCU